AGCGAACGCUGGCGGCAGGCUUAACACAUGCAAGUCGAGCGGGCAGCCUGGUGGUGUCCGCGGCAGACGGGUGAGUAACGCGUCGUAACGUGCCCUUCGGUUCGGCAUAGCUCAAGGUAACUUGAUAUAAUAUAGGAUACGCCCUUGUGGGGAAAGGUUUACUGCCGAAGGAUCGGCCCGCGUCUGAUUAGCUAGUUGGUGAGGUUAUGGCUCACCAAGGCGACGAUCAGUAGCUGGUCUGAGAGGAUGAUCAGCCACACUGGGACUGAGACACGGCCCAGACUCCUACGGGAGGCAGCAGUGGGGAAUAUUGGACAAUGGGGGCAACCCUGAUCCAGCCAUGCCGCGUGAGUGAUGAAGGCCUUAGGGUUGUAAAGCUCUUUUCUCCGGGAAGAUAAUGACGGUACCGGAAGAAGAAGCCCCGGCUAACUUCGUG
rnacentral:rRNA from 1 species